rnacentral:rRNA from 1 species
AGAGUUUGAUCCUGGCUCAGAGCGAACGCUGGCGGCAGGCUUAACACAUGCAAGUCGAGCGGGCGUAGCAAUACGUCAGCGGCAGACGGGUGAGUAACGCGUGGGAACGUACCUUUUGGUUCGGAACAACACAGGGAAACUUGUGCUAAUACCGGAUAAGCCCUUACGGGGAAAGAUAUUUAUCGCCGAAAGAUCGGCCCGCGUCUGAUUAGCUAGUUGGUGAGGUAACGGCUCACCAAGGCGACGAUCAGUAGCUGGUCUGAGAGGAUGAUCAGCCACAUUGGGAACUGAGAACACGGGCCCAAACUCCUACGGGGAGGCAGCAGUGGGGGAAUAUUGGACAAUGGGCGCAAGCCUGAUCCAGCCAUGCCGCGUGAGUGAUGAAGGCCCUAGGGUUGUAAAGCUCUUUUGUGCGGGAAGAUAAUGACGGUACCGCAA